UUACCGGGUCCGGACACACUGAGGAUUGACAGGUAUUAUAUAGCACGCGCACUUCGGUGUGUGUGUCUAUUGUUAAAUAUGCUAGUCCUUUCAUGAUUAUGUGAUAGGUGGUGCAUGGCCGUUCUUAGUUCGUGGAGUGAUCUGUCUGCUUAAUUGCGUUUCAGAUAAGGAUCUAUAUUCUUUAUACGAGUGUUGCAGACCCCUUCCUCACGGGAGCGCGUGUCUCGCAUAAUCUCUAUACAUUAGGUCCUGAAAGCAACGAACGUGACCGCAACCUCUUGUUGCCUCAUCUCU
rnacentral:rRNA from 1 species